rnacentral:rRNA from 1 species
AAAAUUAUUCGCCAGAGUACUACCGGCAACAGCCCGAAACUCAAAGGACUUGGCGGUGCUUUAUACCCUUCUAGAGGAGCCUGUUCUAUAAUCGAUAAACCCCGAUAAACCUCACCAAUCCUUGCUAAUACAGUCUAUAUACCGCCAUCUUCAGCAAACCCUAAAAAGGAACAAAAGUAAGCUCAAUCACAACACAUAAAGACGUUAGGUCAAGGUGUAACCCAUGGAAUGGGAAGAAAUGGGCUACAUUUUCUACCUUAAGAAAAUUAAUACGAAAGCCAUUAUGAAAUUAAUGACCAAAGGAGGAUUUAGUAGUAAACUAAGAAUAGAGUGCUUAGUUGAAUUAGGCCAUGAAGCACGCACACACCGCCCGUCACCC